rnacentral:lncRNA from 1 species
UGUAGUUUUCGUCAUCGGGAGAGGUUCAGGAAUUUUCAAAAUUCCCUAGUGGAUUGUGAUCUUUCGAGCUUAGUGGAUGAUGAUGGUUACCUUCACAUUAGGGUUACUCUACUUCUUUGUUAGUCAAUAUCCAAUUUCAUGUUAAGUCCAAGAUUGCAUUUGGUGGAUAGAUUGGGAUAUGAUAAGAUGAUGUGAGAAUCUAUGAUAAGAUAAUGUGAGAUUUAGAAUCCUCCAAAUGUCUUUCGGAUCAUAGAAAAUCCCAUAAAAUAUUUGGUGCAAUUCAAGAAUAGACAAAAAAAAAAAAAACUUUGAAAAUCUUACUUGGCCAGCGCAAUCUUUUACGAUAUCUAGAUGUUACUGCAUGAGUUCCCUUACUAGCGUCUUAAACCUGCUCUUUUCAACUCCCUUCAAUUUGUUUCCUUCAUUGCCACUUUUGCCAAAUCCAUUGCUAUCUCCACCUCCAAAUUAGAGUCCUCGCUCAAGUUCACCAUAUUAAAGGGGGUUUAGAUGCUGGCGAAGACAAGCCUCGGGUUGCCGACAGUGUCGCGAAGUGACCUGGGGAGGUAGCAACUACAACGAUCUGGUAAACGAGGUAGCAAUAACUGAUAA